UACGUAGGGUGCAAGCGUUAAUCGGAAUUACUGGGCGUAAAGCGUGCGCAGGCGGUUUUGUAAGUCUGUCGUGAAAUCCCCGGGCUUAACCUGGGAAUGGCGAUGGAGACUGCAAGGCUAGAGUUUGGCAGAGGGGGGUAGAAUUCCGCGUGUAGCAGUGAAAUGCGUAGAGAUGCGGAGGAACACCGAUGGCGAAGGCAGCCCCCUGGGCUAACACUGACGCUCAGGCACGAAAGCGUGGGGAGCAAACAGG
rnacentral:rRNA from 1 species